UACGUAGGGUGCGAGCGUUGUCCGGAUUUACUGGGCGUAAAGAGCGUGUAGGCGGCCAAGCAGGUCCGUUGUGAAAACUGGAGGCUUAACCUCCAGACGUCGACGGAAACCGCGUGGCUAGAGUCCGGAAGAGGAGAGUGGAAUUCCUGGUGUAGCGGUGAAAUGCGCAGAUAUCAGGAAGAACACCAAUGGCGAAGGCAGCUCUCUGGGACAGUACUGACGCUGAGACGCGAAAGCGUGGGGAGCGAACAGG
rnacentral:rRNA from 1 species